UACGAAGGGGACUAGCGUUGUUCGGAAUUACUGGGCGUAAAGCGCACGUAGGCGGAUUUGUUAGUCAGGGGUGAGAUCCCGGGGCUCAACCUCGGAACUGCCUUUGAUACUGCAAAUCUCGAGUCCGAUAGAGGUGGGUGGAAUUCCUAGUGUAGAGGUGAAAUUCGUAGAUAUUAGGAAGAACACCGGUGGCGAAGGCGGCCCACUGGAUCGGUACUGACGCUGAGGUGCGAAAGCGUGGGGAGCAAACAGG
rnacentral:rRNA from 1 species